rnacentral:lncRNA from 1 species
GUCACAGACCCGUGGGGCUCGCGGGUAGCCGGGCCGGGGCCGUCCGUGUCCCGCGGGGCUCUGGGCGGCCGCCCGACCGAGGACCCACGACUCCGCCCUGACCCCGCCGUGUUCGCGAGACCCGGAGACCCCUUCGCGCCUUCCAGGACCGCCCCUUUCGCGACGCUGGGUGCUGUGCUUGGUCCUGGCGGCCAAGAGCGGCAGUGGCAAGGGGACCGCCCUGGCCCGAGACGCGGCCUGGCCUCGCAGCGUCGCUUGGGCACAGCCUCUCUAGGCCCCUUCUUCCUCGAUCGCGGAGGGACGCCAUUAAACGGCCACGCCGGGCUCAACUGGGACGCGGCCCACGGCGCCCAACCAGGGCCUGGGGGAGGGAAGCCGGGGCGGCGACUCCUGGGUCCUUCCAGGACCCUUGCGCAGGCCUCAUUCUCUCCCCGGAGGUCCCCUUCCCGCUGCCCUGAGGCCACUUUCCUGCCAGCAGCUGCUGGGCCGGCUCUCGGGAGAGUGCCUUGGCGUCAAGCUUAUCAGGCUGCAGGGUGGGACGCGAGUGCUGAGGGCAGCCAGACUCCCGCUCUUAGGUGCAGUUGAGGAGCCUGAGAAGGCAGUGGCUCUGCGGGAGAGGGAGACACAGGAGUAGGGCUGGUCAGCCGAGAUUCCGGAGAGACGGUUGUGGGCCGAUUCUGUGGCGAGAUUUACAAGUGAGAGGUUGGGUGACGAUUGCUCCUGGGCCAGAAAAUCUAAGCCAGUCUCGGCAAGACCUACAAGGCCAGGGCCAGUGCUCCUCAGAGGAUAUUCAUGCUCCAGGAAAGCCAAGGAUGGGCCUCCGUCAUGCUGAGAUGCUGCAGCAGGGACACCUGUGUCCCACGUGGAGCUCGGCUUCUAGCUGCAGUCAGGGCAGAAGCUGGCAGGAGGAGUUUACUGCUGUCCUCGGAAGCUUUUGGUAAGGACACUUCAUUCCUGUGUCUUGGACACCUCCCCCUAGGUCUGCUGCCCCCUCUGUGGAGACAGGCAGGGCAGCUGGAUGUGCCGUUUGUUCCCAGACUAUAUCCAUGCCAAAGCAUCCCAAGUGCAGGAAAUGUGUCCCUGGGGGCCAGUGGGGGUCUGGGGGCACAGAGGGCUGCAGAGUGAGAGCUGGCUCUCCUCUCUGCAACUUGGACAAGGCUCUGGGACCCUGUCCUCCCCAGCUUCCUCACCUGCAUGGCAGGAUACUGGCCAAGUGUGGCUUUCGAACCACAGGAGAGGGUGCAGUCAAGGCCUCACUCAGGGACCGCAGGUUCCUUUCCCUUCCCAGUCCUUCCCUGGCACUGCCUAGGUGGCUCCCUGGCCAGGGGCCAGUAGUCUAGCCAGCAGAGGGUUCACGGCCUUAUAACCUCCCAACCAGAGAGGCAGCUGCAGUUGAGCCUGUUGAUCUGAUGCUGAGGGCCCUGCCAGCUCACUGCAGAGUGGCCAGUUCUGGCCAGUUUUGCUAGGCCAGGCCCAUUUGGGGUGAGGAGAGGGUGGGAGCACCCCAGCUCUCCCCAGUAGCCUGUCAUGGUGAAGGAGGAAGCCCAUUCACCCAGAAGAGGGCCUCAGGAGGCGUCUUCAAGGUGACUGAGGUUUCCCCGCACAAGGAGAGUGCUGGAGGGAAUGGGUGCGAUGAGAGAAAUGAGUCACUCGUGCCUCCGUGAGGCCAGCCUGUGAUUGUCUUGAAGAUUCUGAGUCACAAGACAUCAGGCACACAGGCGUGAAUUGUAAAUGACUGCACAGCAGAAGGUAAGUGACUCUGGAUUAUCCAGACCAUUGACCGAGCCCUGCUCCGUGCCAGUGCUUCCUGGCCUGAGGACACGGCUCUCACAUCCAGACAGACCUGAGCAGCUAACGCAAGUGCGCAGAAGCUCGCCAAGUGCCCAGAAGAGCCAAGAGGCGAGCCAUGAAUCCCCCCUGGAGGAGAAGAGGAUGGGGAGGGCCAAACAGAAAAGAACUGAAACUGGAGGCAUCUGUUCAGGCACCCAGAGAAAGCCUCACUCGCACAAAGCAGCAAACAGAACAAACCCCAGUGCCGUCAUGGAGCCCAGACUUGAGCACACAGGGACCUUGGCGUGGAGCACGAGGGUGCCAAGGCCCGCAGGUGGCCGACUUGUGUGCUCUGGUGCCAUGCUCAGAUUUGAUGGGAUGACCCUGCAAUUGCCUGCUUUGUGAGCCGCACAGGCCUGGGUCAAAAAGACGACGGACCACCAGCCUGGGCAACACACAUGGCGAGACCUGUCUCCACUUAAAAGAUAAUUAGGGUG